CCGAACUGCCUUCUGGGAUAAAUCAUGUGUUAUCUUCUCCCGGCAAGAAGAAAGUCGUGCUCUCCUGAGUAGCCAAGCAACGCGUCUUUACUACCGAUGACGUCAAUUUCUUGUCAGCGUCAAAAACAAAAUGACGCAACCACCCGAACGUUUAAGAUCUUUGACGUAAGACUUCCUGACUUUGUCUGUGGUAUGGCGCGUGGGACGCUGAGGGUGCUUUUGUGCCAGGAAGAAUUUGAAUAUGCGGAUGAUAACAAUCUGUCGGACUGGGAAGAGUUCGACGCUUCCAUGCGUAGACGCCUUUGGACGUUUAUCGUGAUAUUCAGCCUCUUUGUCGUCGUCUUCUGCAUAUGGGCCUACGCGUGUUGUCGAGCUGUAAAUUCUAGCAUGUCUGAUGCCAGAAGAACCUGUUCUUAUUACUGUCUGAAGAAAUCUUAUUUUUAUAAUAUUAUGUUUAAGAAGAUUGUGUUCUCACACUUCAAACCACGAUGAGAUGGCCCGCACUUCUGGACACUUUCUUCCCGUACUGCGGCCAACAGAAAGGAAGCGAAAACAUCAACUAACGAAUAUUCUGACAUUGAACCUGGCACUUUUGGGGAGUACUCUGGACGGCGACCUCUCUCCGGGAUGAAUCGAAACUUAUAAACGUGCUUCACUUUGCUUGGUCAUCUCCCAGAGUGUAGGUCAUUUUUCGUGGAAUGCUGUUUGAACAGUGGUUAUGUCCUUCAAAUAUCCGCUUUUGUAGUAUGUGAACGAUAAACAAUAAUGUUGCUGAAAAAUUGCUCGCCUUCUAAAGGGACAGUCAAGCCCAUAACAGUUGACAGUUCAAUAAAGUCUAUUGACAAGA